CCUACGGGUGGCUGCAGUGGGGAAUAUUGCACAAUGGGGGCAACCCUGAUGCAGCGACGCCGCGUGAGUGAAGAAGUAUUUCGGUAUGUAAAGCUCUAUUAGCAGGGACGAAGAAAGACGGUACCUGACUAAUAAGCGACGGCUAACUACGUGCCAGCAGCAGCGGUAAUACGGAGGGGGCAAGCGGUGACCGGAAUUACGGGGUGUAAAGGGAGCGUAGACGGCUGUGCAAGACUGAAGUGAAAGCCCAGGGCUCAACCCAGGAAAUGCUUUCGGGACUGUGAGGCUAGAGUGCUGGAGAGGGAAGUGGAAUUCCUAGUGUAGCGGUGAAAUGCGUAGAUAUUAGGAGGAACACCAGUGGCGAAGGCAGCUCACUGGACAGUAACUGACGUUGAGGCUCGAAAGCGUGGGGAGCAAACAGGAUUAGAUACCCCAGUAGUC
rnacentral:rRNA from 1 species